ensembl:snRNA U1 U1 spliceosomal RNA
AUACUUACAUGGCAAUGGAGACACCAUGAUCAAGCAGGUGGUUUUCCCAGGGUGCGGCUUGUCCAUUGCACUGAGGAUGUGCAGACCACUGCAAUAUCUCCAAAUGUGGGAAACUCAACUGCAUAAUUUGUGGUAGUGGGGGACUGUGUUCACACUCUCUUCUA